UCAACCCAAUAUCAAGCCACAAAGUCUCAACUUUUAGAGAGAGAAACUAGAGAGAGAAAGAAAAAAAUAAAUAAAUUAGGUUUUCUAUGCAUACGCCGAAGAAGAUACCGGAAAAACUUUGAAGGCUGUUAACUUCUAGUCCUGAAUAUUAACUUAUAUUCCAUUUUAGUCCUACACUUUUUCUGAAACUUCGUUUUACGUCGGGCUUAUGUUUUGAUUGAUCGUUUUACGUCCAAAUUAAUGGAUGAAAUUUGGGAAAGAGCGGUGGAAACUGCUUUAGACGGCGAAACAAGCUUCAGUUCAGUGAAAAACCUAACAUUAGACGGAGCCGUUAAGUGUGUUCAUGGAAAAUUACCUCAACCGUCAAUUUUCGAACGAUUUACGAAUCUCGAACACUUAUCUAUAGCGAAUAUCGGUGUUUCAUCGUUAGAACAGUUUCCAAUGCUUCGUAAUCUUCAAAAAUUGAUUUUAUCUGAUAAUAGAAUUGCUGGAGGUGUUGAAUUUCUCGUAGAUGCUGGCUUAAAUUCACUGAGGGAUUUAGAUUUAUCGAAUAAUCGGAUUAAUGAUAUUGAUGAUUUGAGACCUUUGGCUGAAUUGAGACUUGUUUCGCUUGAUCUGUAUGAAUGUCCGGUAACGAGAGUUAAGGAUUAUCGAUCUAGGGUUUUUGGAUUGAUUAAGUCGUUGAAGUAUUUGGAUAAGAUGGAUUUGGAAGGGAAUGAGAGACCGGAAUCGGAUGAUGAAGAGGAUGAGGAUGAAGAUGAGGAUGAUAAUGAGGAUGAUGUGGAUGAUCCGGGUAGUGGUGAGGUGGACGGUGAGGAUCGACCGAGUAAUGGACAUAGUAGGGUUAGGGUUGGGAGUGAAGGUGUUGUUGAUGUUGAUGAGGAUGAAAGUGAUGCUGAUGAGGAGGAGAUGGAGAUAACGAGAGCGAUUAACGGGUCGAAAAGCCAAGAAAAUGGUGUUCUAGAUGAGGAGGGAGAUGAUGAUGAGGACGAGGAUGAUGAGGACGAGGAUUUUGUGGAGGAGAUAGAUGAGGACGGAGAUGACGAGGAUGAUGUUGUGGAGGUACACGAGAUAGAGGAUAGUGACGACGAGGAGGACGGUGUGGAGGAUGAUGAGGAUGAUGAUGAUGAUGACGACGAGGAUGAGGAUGAGGAGGAGGUUGAUAAUGAUGAGGGGGAUGGAGAGGAGCCGGAGAGUACUACGGGGAGGUUGAAUAGUACGGAAGGGGAGAUUGAUGGACAUGAGCACGGGGAAGAUGAAGCGGACGAGGACGAUGAUGGGGAGACGGGAGAGGAGGUGCAUGGUGUUGAGGAGGAGGAUGGGGAUUUCGAUGAUAAUGAUGAUGAGGAUGCUGAAGAUGAGGAAGAAGAUAAUGGCAAUGGCUACCUUGUUCAACCAGUUGGUCCUGUUGAAGUAGAAGAUGAUGCUGAAGGCAGUGAUAUGGAGCCAGUUAAUGGUGAUGAAGAUCCUGAUUUGGAGGAAGACAUUGAAGAUGAGGAGGAUGAUUAUGGUGAAGUUCAAGAGCUGCCACCCUCCUCCUCCUCGAAGAGGAAGAGAGAUGAUGAGGAGGAUGAUGGUGAGGAAGAUGACGAGGAGUUUGCAAAGUCAUCCAAGCACCGUUAGCAAAUGUAUCUUUGAUGAAGGAGAUGAUGAACUUGAGAAUGGAUUUAUUUUCAGACUGGUGGUAGUUAUAACUGUUGAGCAUCUUUUCUUGGUGGGAAAUUCAGGUCUAUGAUGAUGGUAUACAAAUGUUCAAAAGUUGGUUAGUAAAUAUUGGCGCUCUUGCUUUGUUUGCAGUAGCCGUUGCCUAGUGAUUCAAAUGACAGUUGAUCCAACUACUCUUCAUGAGUAGGUUUUUGGAGGGGAAUUUGAAUUGAUUUGGGGGAAAAAAGCGAAAGGAAAAUCUCUGCGGGUUCUUCUACCAUAGUUAGUAGGUGGUGCCAGAUGUCAGCUGUCUGUUGUCUCAAUUGAUUGCUCUCAUUUCCUGGUCUCCCAAUCAUGUGACCGAUGAUAUAUUAUACCCACCGGCCCCGAAUAUUAUUUAGUUAAAAAAACAUAGAGAAAAAGCAAUGGUCCCAAUCCAAAAAAGGAAAAAAAAUUCCCCGCUUAUAUUGUGCUAAACGAACUUAUACCUCUUGCAUAGAGAUCGGAUUGGCGUUGGUGUCCUUGGGUAUUAGGCCGUGGUAAAAGUAUUGUUGGGCUUGGAAGCCCAGAAGUCUCGGUUGGCAAAUGAUCCAAGAGAGCAUGUUUGGGCUACAACAGAGCAGGCCAGUGAAGAAGUGUACUAACUUUGGGCCGCCAGCUUAAACAGAAGGCUUCGUGCUUUUGUCCAACUAGUCAAUGCUUAUGUGACAAAAUGGGACAUAGUCUCUUUGUUUAUGUGGUGUACUUGUGCUACUUUUUAACGCAUUUUACAAAGAGAUGUAGCGCGUGUUGCGCUUGGUAUAUGUAUUUAAAUUUCUUAAACUUUCAAUUAUUGAAUUCAAUUGAAUGGUAUACAACCUUUUUCUUUC